ensembl:lncRNA
CCCACCUGAUCUUGCCUCCUUCCAACUGCCUUCCAUUUUGAAGACGUGUAUUUUCAUUGUUAAAGGGGCCACGACAUGAUCUGAUCAAAUAUAAUGGAUCAUCUGUGAUUUAGGGCAGAAGAGGAGGAAUUGGAAUUGGGCCCAGGGUUCUGCUGAUUGGUUGAGGCUACGUGAGGUCAGCCAGGUGUAGAUCAUUUGGUGUAGAUCAAGUCCCAUUAAAAACUCCAUAAUGUGCACAAGGUAGACUGCUAGAUUAUCAAUCAUCUUUUUCAGAAAAAAAUAAUCAGGGAAGACGUCACAUACCUGUAGCGGUAAAUGGAAGUUGUUGCUAUGGUGACGGUAGGAUGCAACAAGCAUGAGUACCUGUUAAGUUCAACAUCGCAUGAGGAGUACUCAGAUGACGAGAUCUCAACCAAGAAAGAGAUGCACUGGAGACUUGGACCAGAGAACCACGACGAUACUGUCCUGUAUGACUUUGAGAUGGCCUGUGAUACCCAGGAGGAGAUACUGGUGGCGGUGGAGUUCAUCACCCAUGAUGCCCUGUCGAGAUCAAUAUCACCCGAGGAGUACUCCGACGAUGAGAUAUCAACCAAGAAGGCGACGCAUUGGAGACUUGGACCAGCGGAUCACUGUGAUACUAUUCCCUACACGGGCAACUUGAACCAUAGUGUUGCUGUUCGCUUUGACUUUGAUAAUACUGUUCUGUAUGACUUUGACAUGGACCGUGAUACCCAGGAGGAGGAGAUGGUGAAGUCUGCCGAGGAUGAAGUGUCCUGUCGAGUACACAGAUACAGGUUGUGUAGUAUGGAUAGACCCUCUGUUGGCUGAUUGUGGGAUGUGUUGUGGCUGUUUUUUAAAAUAUUUUUUUACAUAUGUAAUGUCUAAAUAUCUUUAUGAAUGAUUAAAAUUGAUUAUUAUUAUUUGGGCUUUUAUUCAACACUAUAUUCGAUCCAAUCCAGGCAAAGUCUUAUUCUAGCAGGUAACCUAAAACAUUUCAUAAGAUUGACAAAUGUAAUAAAAAGUCAUCUCUAAACAUAAUGUACACCUGGAGAUUACCCUACAAGAGACUACCUAGUAAAGCUAUUUUAAGGAUUGAUCGUUUAAAAAAAUAAUAAAUAUAGUGGUUUUAUUAUUUAUUGGCUCCUUCUGUAGUAUCAUGCUUAUUUACACAGUACACUUAGUGACAGAAUAUGGAGAACGAACAGAG